rnacentral:rRNA from 1 species
GGAGUCUAACGUGUGCGCGAGUCAUUGGGACAAUUUGAACUAAACCUAAAGGCGAAAUUAAGGUGAAAGUACGCGUCGAGCGUGCUCAGGGAGGAUGGGUCGUCGAUGCGUCGCGGCCCCGCACUCCCGGUGCGUCUCGUUCUCCGUAUCGCUCUUAACGGGGCGUUACGCGAGAUGAGGCGCAACUAGAGCGUACGCGGUGGGACCCGAAAGAUGGUGAACUAUGCCUGGUCAGGACGAAGUCAGGGGAAACCCUGAUGGAGGUCCGUAGCGAUUCUGACGUGCAAAUCGAUCGUAAGAACUGGGUAUAGGGGCGAAAGACUAAUCGAACCAUCUAGUAGCUGGUUCCCUCCGAAGUUUCCCUCAGGAUAGCUGGCGCUCGCUUGUGCGAGUCUCAUCCGGUAAAGCGAAUGAUUAGAGGCAUUGGGGUCGAAACGGCCUCAACCUAUUCUCAAACUUUAAAUGGGUGAGAUCUCCGGCUUGCUUGAAUGAUGAAGCCGCGAGAUCGGAUCAGAGUGCCAAGUGGGCCAUUUUUGGUAAGCAGAACUGGCGCUGUGGGAUGAACCAAAAGUCGAGUUAAAGCGCCAAAAUCGACGCUUAUGGGAUACCAUGAAAGGCGUUGGUAACUUAAGACAGCAGGACGGUGGCCAUGGAA